AUAAGCAUUAUCUACACAAGGAUGCAGAAUAUCUUGUUCAGUGUAACCCUUGGGAAUGGAGAGCUGGCUCCACAGCUGAGGGGAUUCAGGCAGCGCACACACAGCCUUCGUGGUUGAGAAGGUGGGUGCCGGGGAGGGGGGGCGCCUGGGUGGCUCAGUCUGUUAAGCCUCUGACUCCUGGUUUCAGCUUAGGUCAUGAUCUCGCGGUUUCGUGGGUUUGAGCCCCGCAUCGGGCUCUAUGCUGGCAGCGUGGAGCCUGCUUGGGAUUCUCUCUUUCCCUCUUUUUCUGCCCCUCUCUGCUCUGUCUCUCUCAAAAUAAAUAAACUUAAAAAAAAAAAGGUCUAGUAGUACUGUUUAUUUCUCAAAGGGUAAGUCCCUUCUCUGUGGCCUCAGGAAGGUGGAGAAACCAGAGGUGUGGCCAGGUGUCAAGCCAGCGUCAGUGGGGGGUUGGUGAGAUGCCACCGUGUUGCUGCCCAAUAGGACCACGCCAGUGGUGGGACACUGGAGGCCACAGGGUGAUCUUGAUGGGGGUUACGUGGGAGCAGAGCUGUGUCGGGGAGGAGACACUUGACCUGUGUGCAUGUGUCUAGGGAGGUGAUGGAGAACCUUAUAGUAGAGAUGCCUAUAGGAUGAGACGGCAUGCACAGGUUUGGGGUAGCCGGGACUCUGGCAUUUCCUCCCAGAAGGCUAGCGAUCCCAACCGUCCUGUGCUGAAGCUUGCUUUAGAGUUUUACCCGUUGUGUAAUUCUGCUCCAUGACUGGCCAAUCGCUAUUGUAGGGUCUGGCCAUUCAGAGACAGUAGAAAACACAGCCUUUGCCCUCAAGCAGCAAAUGUUCAUGGGAAGAGACAGACCCAUAAACAGAAAGUAUAAAUCAAUAGGGGUAAUCCAGAGGUAAGCAUGGGGGAUCAUGGAACCUUCGAGAAAGACAUCUAACCCUGGGAAGGAAGCGGUGGGGUCAGAGGUGGCUGGUAAUAUCUGCCAAAUGUCCGCCUCCAAGGCAGAGGGCAGUGGAAGCAUAAUUCCAGGUGUAGGCAGGUGUAGGUAACAGGGAGGCGAGAGUUGAGCGGUUUUGUCUUGAUGGGGCUUCAAGUCUUAGGUAAGGCAAGGUUGGGGAAAAAGAUGGGGAGAUAGGGCCAUGUGUACCAAAGGAAGGAUCUCUGGCUUCGUUGACUCUCCAGCAACGAUGGUGUCAUCAGAUACAGGAGUUGCUCUGUAAAUGGAUCCCUCUGACAGCAGUAAGGAGGGUGGAAUUCAUGAGAGACGAGGCUGAGCCAGAAAGGUCUGUUGCAGUGCAUACAGACGAGAUGAUAAGGGCUGGAGCCACGACUGAGAUCAUAGGAAGGCCAGAUUAUAGAGUCACCGAGGGCUGGGACCCCUUCUUGGAUGUCUUUGAAUCUCUGCAUACCAGUCAGCAAAGUGCCAGCAAGAGGAAUCUAAUGAACGUGGGACAUGAAAGAGACUGGGCUGACCAAGACCGACAGGAAGCUCGGAUAAUUAUUUGAAAUGUCUAAAGUCAUCAGAAGGCUUAGAAAACGUAACGCCAAUCCUUCCUGCAAAAGAAAUGUGCACAGCAGAAAACAAAACCCAGAGCAGAAAGCAGAGAGCAAGGGCAAGUUGGGACAGGAAAUGGAGAAGAAAUUGGGAAAGGUCAUGCAGAAUGAGGUCAAGUUCCGGGGGACGGAGGAGCAAAGCACGCAUGAUGUGUGAGCGCUAAUUAACGUGGUUAAAGAGAACAGCGUGGAACAGUAAAUGCCAGCAGAGCAAGGAGCCCAGCUGCAAGGCGGACCCAACGUGAAAAAGAAAAGCAAUCCUUGCGCCACACAACUCCUUUUAUAACGCAGCAAAUUCCCGUAAAUCUGUUCGCCUCCCGUUGUGGCUGUAUAGGUGAGGAGUAGGAUGGCCGAGUGGUUGGACCUCCCAGCAUGUAUUACCCCUAGAAGGAGCUCCGGGCGCCCGCUUAGGCCGCAGCCUCUUCUGACAUCCUUUUCCUCCGCGCGUGGCGGUAGAUGCUCAUCCGGGAGCAGGAAACGAUUGCAUGCUUGGGCUUUUCUGCAGUUCGUCUUCUAAAGAGAGAAACGAAACAAAGCAAAAAAGAAAGCUGGAUGUUUAGAGAUAUUCUAAAACCUUUUAAAGGCGUGCCGUUCACCGAAGCAAGGAAAAGAAGGUGGAGGCCGGCCGUUCAGAUUCCCUGGAGCGGGGAUAUGGAAGAAUUCAUCGCGGGCUAGUUUCUGUGUAUUCUGCACUUCAAAGUGACUUUACAGGUUUAUUUGGGGAUUCCACUCCAGCAGAGAAAGGAACGCCUUGCCAACUCUCGACUGUACGUUCCAUUUUUUGAAGAGAGAACACCACUCUGGGAGCGCUUAAGAGAGCAGGCACGGGGGCCAAGGCCACGCACACUCACUGUCCAGAUCAAAUCGUGGCCUUUUUCCCCCCCUCUCCUGGAGAAUCAGCUGUUAAAUAUUUACCAGCACGCCGCCGUGUACAAACAAGAUCCAAGAGGAACCACUUGACCCGCUAGAGUGAACAAAGAGUUUAGCCCAAAACUGUGGGCAAGUAAGCAGAUAAGGUUAAUUGUAUUACGGAUCCCUUCAUGAAUGACCGCCUGAUGGGAAUGCUGCCUUAACAUUACUCAGCAAUUCAUGCCAUUUGCCGUACAUUCUUGGAAGCAAUAGAAUUGCCUUUUAUUAUUAUUUUUUUAUUAUUUUUGAGAGAGAGAGAGACAGAGACAGGGUGCAAGCAGGGGAGGGGCAGAGAGAGGGGGAGACACAGAAUCCCAAGCAGGCUCCAGCCUCCGAGGCUUGAACGUGGGGCUUGAACCCACGACCUGUGAGUGAGAUCGCAACCUGAGCCGAAGUCGGACGCUUAACCGACUGAGCCACGCAGGCGCCCCGCCUUUCAGUAUUUCUUUUCGUUUGUUUUUUUUUUUGCCCCCUACAGUGGAGGCCCCCAGUUCCAAAACUUCCAGUUUACAGAUUACACGUGUGUGAUGGGUAUGGAAGAGUCCGGUAUGAGAAGUCAGGGUGUUGCCGGCAGCUGGUGGCCGCAGAUAGAGCAGUGGAGUUCAGGGUUAGGGGGAGGUCGCAGAGGUGCGGGCUGGACUCUGGUGUGUUUAUCUCAAAGCUGGAUUUCUAUCCCUCUCUUUUAAACCUUAUAACAACCUUCCUUCAGUAAUCCUGGGUACCAGGAGUGCCGUUGAGGCCCGAGGGCGGGGCCUGUAUGUUGUUUGGGGAUCGAUCUCCGUACUCCAGAAGCUGCAAGCCUCAAGAUCCACCCUACCAGUCGACCAGCUUUUUCAGCCGAGAGACUAUGGCCCAUCUUCCCCAAGUCCUGUGUCUGUAGAGUCCGGCGAGGUACCGCCUGUGGUGGCCAUUCGAUUAAUUUCAAAGAUACAACAUGGUGUAACGGGACAACAGGGGACGUGGAGUUCGGAGUCAGAAGACUGAGGUUCGACGCAGACUAAUCGCUGGGGUAGAAACCAGAUAGUGGUCGAGGGUUGAGCGUUGAGUGGUUCUGGGAAAGGGCCGGAGGGGAUUUUCUAGGGGUUAGAAAUGUUCUAUACCCUUUGCGGGAGGUAGUUACAUAAGCAUAUCCAUCGGCCCAAAUCCAGCAAAGACGCCGAUGAUCCGUGCAUUUUAUCGAAUGCAAAUUGUAUAGCAAUUGUCUCUCCUACUGUCCAGACAACUCCUUCGUCUCUAUGAGCCUUUGUUUCCUGUCUGAAAAAUGGAAGGACGACUUCUACCCGUGCCGUGGGUGAUCACACAUAUUAUUAAAUGGGACCACGUGAGUCCAACGUGCUUUGUACACGAUAAAAAGCCCUGUGCACGGUGGCUACCAUUGUUCUGCUUUUCAUCUAGCUGCCUUCUAGAGCAGAUUGAGUUGGUACAAAUCUGUGGGCUCUGCCCUGCAACUUUCCCUUGGAGAUUAGUGUUUAUCUGUCUAUUUUAAGGAGACUCUGGAGGUAUCAAAAUGCUGCAGAAAAGCAAAUGGAAUAUGGAUUUGCUGGGGAGGGGAGGGCGGGCCGGAAAGGGAACAGCUGGGGAGCAAGCCAUCAAUCCAGCCGGGCAGCAGGGCCAGCCGGGUGCCGAGAGGGAGCCGCUUAAUGCCUGUGAGAGAGUCGUGACCAGGAAAAGCAACGUGAGUAAAAAAAAAAAAAAAAAAUCACGUCUUGCCAAACAAACUGGGUCACAUUCGUGAUGGAGUUAGUCACCGAGCAGAGACGGGAAAGCAUUUUCAGAGGAAAAAGCAGAAGGUUGGGGGACCACGGUGACUCAGCUGAAGUGGCCAGGGCCACUUUGGCCUCCUGGCCCCGCUCGGUAGUUAAGCGAGAGUCCUUCUGUGGGUCCUGCAGUGCGUCUUGCGGUCUUUUGGGUUUGAACUUGAUCUUUACGCCUAGAGGCAAUCGCAAACAACCUUUACAUUGGAAUCAAGAGCACAGCACACAUUUUAAAAUAGAAAAAAAAAAAAAAAAUCUUAGCGAGAAGCCAAGUUAAACUAAGACCGGAAGAGCGGGGAGGCCGUGGCGGAGUUCACCCCCCGGAGCUCGAGUGGGAGGUAACAACUGGCCGAAUGCAGCCGAGCUCCUGAGUGAUUACACUGGCAAAAUCUUUGAAUUUAGCAACUUUGAAGUCAGAGCAAAGAGCAACUGUCCUUUGGCAGCAAAAACCUAUAAGAUGAUUGAACAACGCUGAAUUCAAAUUUAAAAUUGUUGGCCACUAAAAUAAAGCUAAAACAGGGAACGAUGUAGCAGGAAGAAAUAAUCUACAAGACAAAUCUGAUGUGUGAAAUUUUGAUUUUAUCCUCAUUAUAAAAAUUUUGGUGCUUUCUGCUAGAUGGUUUUGCCAAGAAAUGUGAUAUGUUGAAAAAGCAGAGGAAAUGUACCCUAGACGCCGAGGCUAUAAAAGGCUGUUUAAAGUGAUAGGAAUCAGUCGAGGCUCUCCCCAUGACCGAGGUUAUAAAAUUAGGAUCUUAAAACCACCAAAUCUGGGUGAGAGCAAAAGCUCCAGUUAAGAGCCAUGUCUCAAUUUAUUUUAAUAUAACUUCCAUUUUCCCACAGUGUUUGUCUUUUCUCUGGGCAUGUCGGAUUCCUUAUGCUGUUAAUUCCUUCCCGAAGUGCGGUCUCUGUUGGAGCGAGGUGGGGAGCUGGGGUGAGGAGGCACAGUGAGAAAGCGGGGGUGUCCUUCCUGCAACCUCUGAAUCAGAAGGAGGGUGACGUCUGGCACAGGCACUUGCAUGUGGGGGACAUCACUGUGUUGAUCCCAGCUGAAGCAAGCCUGGCUGGGAGCACCCUUCCCCACCUGGAUCUUUGUCUCACUGGUAAUCGGCCACCUCAGACCUCCACCUGGACCCUCGGUGAUACGGUCUCUAGCUGUGUCACUCUGUUCGGUAGCACGUGGAGUCCGGGACCUCCUGCAGCCCGGUGCUAGCUCCAAGUGCUUCUUAACCCCGCUUCUCCGAGGUCUUCAGGAACAGUUGGACACACGCCUUACACCCCCCCCCCCCCCCCCCAGAUCACCAGUGGGCUGUGAAUCAUGAUGGAAUCUCUUAUUUCUCCCCGGCUGCAGAGGGAGAUUUGGGUGUGACAGAUUUGGGUUUGAAGCUCAGGUCCAUGACUUACUGGCCAUCCGGGAAACCUCCGUGAAUGCCGAGUUUCUUGCCUGGAGAGGUGGCACAGAGUAAGGAACCAAAACACAGGGGCUGUAAUUAGCUGGCUCAACAUUUUUGCCAAAGACUGCGAUGGACCUUCACGGCAGGAUAACCAAAUCGACGUGCGGUCAGUUAUCUUCCGAUAGAAAGGGACAAAGAAGAGAGAUCAUAGGCUCCUCAAAGGCUGUGUUUUGGUCCCAAAGCAACUUUCCAAGGGCAGAACUGGCAGCACUAAUGUCAUAGUGUGAUCUGAUGAGAAAUAUGCAUUUCGUCUUCUUGCCUGGUUCUUGGCACAAGAUCGUCUAAACCCCUUUGCCUAAAUUUCCCAAAUGAUAGGAGUGAGCUGAGCUUGUUUUGUUAGUCACAACAAGCCCCUCUCAACCACACCUGAGUUUAUGCUCAGGAAGUGACGUCAUCCCUUCAGGAUGGGAGCUGGGUGUCAGAGGAACCAACUCUGUGAUGAGAUGAUUGGAGCGAGGGGGCUGGAGACGGAAGUAAUCACCAACGGCCAGUGAUUUAAUCAACCGCACUUCUGUAACGCAGCCUCCAUGAACCUCCAUAAACAGUGGAGUUCAGAGAGCUUCCAGGCUGGUGAACACAGCAAGGUGAGGGCAGGGGGUGCACCCAGAGAGGGUGGGGAAGCUCUCUGAACUCCACUGGGGCAGCUUAUGGGACUGAACCCUUCAGUUGUGGGGUCUGUACUAUGGAGACAGAGUGUCAGAAUUAAAUUGUAGAACACCUAGUUGGUGUCCAGAGAGCUGGGGAACUGUUCGGUGGGGGGAAAAACCCACACUCAUUUGGUGCCAGAGUGUCGUGAACAGGCUAUGAAACAGAUUUAGGAGUCUGGCCCACAACGAGCCCCCUGCUGGGACUGUGGCCAAACAAGGUAACCUGAUGGUGUCAGAGUUUUUUGGUGGCAAGCACUUGAAAGAGAUUCUGAUGAACUUAAUUGGAAAAGGACUUUGCUAGGAAGGGAUGGAAGUGUUGGCUGUUGGAUACUGAAGAGCCAGGCCUCAGGAAGAAGGAAGGCUGUUAGCAGGAAUAAAUGGACAGACUCUAUGUUCCUCCAUGAGAA